rnacentral:rRNA from 1 species
AUUGAACGCUGGCGGCAUGCCUUACACAUGCAAGUCGAACGGUAACAGGUCUUCGGAUGCUGACGAGUGGCGAACGGGUGAGUAAUACAUCGGAACGUGCCCGAGAGUGGGGGAUAACGAAGCGAAAGCUUUGCUAAUACCGCAUACGAUCUCAGGAUGAAAGCAGGGGACCGCAAGGCCUUGCGCUCACGGAGCGGCCGAUGGCAGAUUAGGUAGUUGGUGGGAUAAAAGCUUACCAAGCCGACGAUCUGUAGCUGGUCUGAGAGGACGACCAGCCACACUGGGACUGGGACACGGCCCAGGCUCCUACGGGAGGCAGCAGUGGGGAAUUUUGGACAAUGGGCGCAAGCCUGAUUCAGCCAUGCCGCGUGCAGGAUGAAGGCCUUCGGGUUGUAAACUGCUUUUGUACGGAACGAAAAGACUCCUUCUAAUAAAGGGGGUCCAUGACGGUACCGUAAGAAUAAGCACCGGCUAACUACGUGCCAGCCGCCGCGGUAACAC